rnacentral:rRNA from 1 species
AGAGUUUGAUCCUGGCUCAGGACGAACGCUGGCGGCGCGCUUAACACAUGCAAGUCGAACGGGUUCGGGGCUUCGGCCCCGGAUCAGUGGCGAACGGGUGCGUAACACGUGAGCAACCUGCCCCUGUAUGGGGGAUAACCCUGGGAAACCGGGGCUAAUACCGCAUGCGCUCUUGGGGUCUCCUGGCCUUUAGAGGAAAGUCCCUGAAAGGGGAUGUGCAGGGAGGGGCUCGCGGUGUAUCAGCUAGUUGGCGGGGUAACGGCCCACCAAGGCAGCGACGCGUAGCCGGUCUGAGAGGACGACCGGCCACAUUGGGACUGAGAUACGGCCCAGACUCCUACGGGAGGCAGCAGUGGGGAAUAUUGGGCAAUGGCGGAAACGCUGACCCAGCCAUGCCGCGUGCAGGAAGAAGGCGCUCAGCGUUGUAAACUGCUUUUGCCGGGGAAGAAAGGCUAGUACGUGUACUAGAAUCGACGGUACCUGGUGAAUAAGCACCGGCUAACUCCGUGCCAGCAGCCGCGGUAAUACGGAGGGUGCAAGCGUUGUCCGGAUUUAUUGGGUUUAAAGGGUGCGUAGGUGGCUUUUUAAGUCCGGGGUGAAAGGCAGUGGCUCAACCACUUGCAGGGCCCUGGAUACUGGAAGGCUCGAGUGCGCGUGAGGCCGGUGGAACGGGUGGUGUAGCGGUGAAAUGCAUAGAUACCAUCCAGAACACCGAUUGCGGAGGCAGCCGGCUAACGCGCAACUGACACUGAGGCACGAAAGCGUGGGGAGCAAACAGGAUUAGAUACCCCCGUAGUCC